GCUUGUGUGGGUUUCGUUUCCUUCCUGUUCCCGGACUUAAAAGGAAGAUUUGGCCACCUUUACCUGGAUGGCUUAAAGAUAGUUACCCCCCCUCCAACCUUUUUUCAGAGGUAAAGAACGUGCCUCUGACUCAGUUCUCAGAUGCGCCGGCUGUGCUACCCACGCUGCGGUGCUGACGCUGCGCCUACUCAUCUCCUGGGAGUGGGAUAAACCGGAUCAGCAUGUUUUGCAAUGGAAUAUGAAGAUACCUAAGAAAUUUUUAAAUGCGUUACAGCUGUGACAACUAUGUGUGCUGUGGAAUUUCCCAUGUAGACAUCACCAAAGCGGCCUAUCUCCACGCCUGUCCUUCAUCAGCUCAGAGAGUUCAUAUUCAAUCUUCAAGGACAGAGGAGAAAGGAAAAAAGCCUAAGGACAGGCCAAGGAGAUUCACUGACUAUUUAUAGAAUAACCUUGUGUUGGAGAAAAUCAGCUCUUCAGAGAGAGGGAACUAAAGCUUUUUGUGUGCAUUUAAUAGAAACAGCAGCAAUGUGAAAUAAAAGGAAACAACUCCUAAAUCAAAGAAAUGCUUUGUAAUUCUCAAAGAAGAAUGUCAGGAAUAAAUUUAAAACUAACAAUGAGCUAAAGUGAAAUGAUUCUUUAGUGUCUUCUGUUCUUUUAUUGUUCUGUUGGGAUGCUCUAUCUCAAGACUAUUUUCUUAGACAAGUCCCCUGCUUCCCCAAGAC